ACUCAAAGGAAUAGACGGGGACCCGCACAAGCGGUGGAUGAUGUGGAUUAAUUCGAUGCAACGCGAAAAACCUUACCUACCCUUGACAUGCCAGGAACCCUUGAGAGAUCAGGGGGUGCCGCAAGGAACCUGGACACAGGUGCUGCAUGGCUGUCGUCAGCUCGUGUCGUGAGAUGUUGGGUUAAGUCCCGCAACGAGCGCAACCCUUGCCAUUAGUUGCCAUCAUUUAGUUGGGCACUUUAAUGGGACUGCCGGUGACAAGCCGGAGGAAGGUGGGGAUGACGUCAAGUCCUCAUGGCCCUUAUGGGUAGGGCUUCACACGUCAUACAAUGGUCGGUACAGAGGGAAGCCAAGCCGCGAGGUGGAGCUGAUCCUUUAAAGCCGAUCGUAGUCCGGAUUGCAGUCUGCAACUCGACUGCAUGAAGUCGGAAUCGCUAGUAAUCGCGGAUCAGCAUGUCGCGGUGAAUACGUUCCCGGGUCUUGUACACACCGCCCGU
rnacentral:rRNA from 1 species